rnacentral:rRNA from 1 species
UACGGGGGGGGCAAGCGUUGUUCGGAAUUACUGGGCGUAAAGGGCUCGUAGGUGGCCAACUAAGUCAGACGUGAAAUCCCUCAGCUUAACUGGGGAACUGCGUCUGAUACUGGAUGGCUUGAGUUUGGGAGAGGGAUGCGGAAUUCCAGGUGUAGCGGUGAAAUGCGUAGAGAUUGGAAAGAACACCGAUGGCGAAGGCACUUUACUGGGCUAUUACUAACACUCAGAGACGAAAGCUAGGGUAGCAAAUGGG